GCGGAGGAAGGCGACAGCAGCCCAAAGCGUGAAGGAUAGCCCCUGGCAACAAGGAAUUACCCAGCCCCAGCGCCAGUGGCGCCCACGCCGAGUAGCUGGGACGCUGCAUUUCCCACUAGACAGCAAGCAAAGUCCUAAGAAGUUCUCUCUGCUCAACCUAGACCCCAACCAAGGUGACAGACAUUUCCACGUCAGAAGCCUGAGCCCCGUGUCGGUGACCUCCAUCUUGCUUCAUAACAUGCUGUUAAGGAGGGAAUCAAGAUCUGAGAAAAGGGAUUCCUGCCUUGUUUGGCAGCUUUGAGCCAAGAAGAGCCGCUGAGACAAGUUCGGUGACUUCCUCGGGCCCUGCCAAGAGACAAGCUUUCAGCUGAGCCCCGGAAGCCAGAAGGAACCGCACUAUGUGUCCUCUGUAAACGGUUCCCAAGACUCUCGGAUGCGGCCCACUGGGCCUCUGCUUGACUUUGGCCACCUCGUUUGUCUGAUGACCCCUGUGUCCUGGGCGAGCAUCCGUGGCUCCCCGCGUUCUGGAGACACCCUGCUGAGGAGACAGGCGUUUCAGACCCAAGAUUCAGGAUGUACAGCUUUCGCUGGGAGGCAAGAGGCCCAGGCAGAGUGUGGUCAGUGUUGGAGCCGAACCCUUUGCCCUGGCCCGCAAGAGACCCCGGAAAAGAAGCAAGUAUAUCCCAUGGGGCAUAGCACCAUGUGCCUGCAAUCCCAACGCUGGAGGCAGGAGCAUCAGAAGCACAGGGUCGUUUUUUACUACAUAGCGUCUAAAGCAGCCUGGGCUACAUGAGACCCGGCCUAAAACAGACACACAAGCCAAGAACUCACCUAGCCUAUUUUUACCGGCUGUGCUUGGGCAGCCCAAGGGGUUCCAGGCGCUGAGUCAGCAGUGCUGUGUUCACACAUUCACUCCUCGGCUGCUGUGCAGGCUGUGGGCCCAAAGCUUCUGGCUUUCUUUAAAGAGAGAGAAGGAAAGAAUUAUAGUCCCAAUAGGAUGGCUUGCCACGCCUUCUCUCUCAGGGCCCUUCCAGACACCAGAUGCACCAUAGAGGUGACGACCUGGGUCCUUGUUGCCAAUGCCCCUGGAUUGGUGUGGACAACAAUGCUCUCAAAUGCUCCGCUGCCAUCUGCAUAAGGGCUCAAGCAGCCAGACAGCCACCCCUGCUGGCAACACUAAGGACCUCAUAUUUGCCAUUUCACGUCUUCUGCAAAGUUUUGGUGUCCUUAUGUUGCUGAAGAUCAAGGCCAGGGAGCAAUGCAAGGGUUCUACCACCCCUGUGUCUGUCCUUAAAUGCCCUCUCUGCAUGGCUUUGGGUGACUUCAGGGUAGCUCUGUGGCUGAAUUUCUCCCACACUCAGACUGCUGCAUUCCUGGAUCUUUUCCUCAUGCCCGAAUUCUGAGCAUCAUGUGCUAGGAUUCAUGCAGGUUGGUUGAUCUCCUUAAUGUCUGGUGGUCUCCACUUCCCCAUGCUCACUUGUGAGCUCACACCCACGCUUUGAAUGGUAUCUACAUAUUCGUAACUGCUGAAUACAGAAUUCUAAACCCGUUGUGCAGGCGUUGGUGGUGCACACCUUUAAUUCCAGCACUCGGGAGGCAGAGGCAGGUGGAUCUCUGUGAGUUCGAGACCAGCCUGGUCUACCGAGUGAGUUCCAGGACACGGUCCAAAACAAUACAGAGAAACCCUGUCUCGAAAAACGAGAGAGAGAGAAAAAAAAAGAACUUCCUUAAAGGGAUGAAAACUGUAUAGAUAAACAGAACUACAUUAAUCUAAACCCGUUGUGUUGACACCUGCCCUCCUGCUGUUACCCACAAACCUCCUCAAUAUUCUCCCUCUUACUGAGUGCCAACCGAAGCUUCCCAGAUGCUCAGGCCAUGAUAUAGAGCUGUCCUUGACAACUGUCUCCCUCAUAUCCCGCAUCGGCAGAUCAAAAUGUACGCUGUAGAAUUAGACUCCUGCUGAAUCUGCCACAUGAAACAAUUCUAAGAGGCUGUUUUGACGUGGGGCAUAUUGGGGAUGGUACCUCUGGAAGCUCCAAGUCUGCUCAUCAUUGUCACUGGUCUUAAUUUGCUAUCUCCAUCUUUUAAAUUAAAUUGUUUGUUUCUA